UACGUAGGUCCCGAGCGUUACCCGGAAUCACUGGGCGUAAAGGGUGCGUAGGCGGCCGCGUGUGUCUGGCGUAAAAUACCACGGCUCAACCGUGGGAAUGCGCUGGAAACUACGUGGCUUGGGUGCGGCAGAGGCAGACGGAACUGCUGGUGUAGCGGUGAAAUCCGUAGAUAUCAGCAGGAACGCCGGUGGAGAAGUCGGUCUGCUGGGCCGUAACCGACGCUGAGGCACGAAAGCUAGGGGAGCGAACCGG
rnacentral:rRNA from 1 species